GAUGAACGCUGGCGGCGUGCCUAACACAUGCAAGUCGAGCGAAGCACUCUACCUGAUUUCUUCGGGAUGAAGGUUUAGUGACUGAGCGGCGACGGGUGAGUAACGCGUGGUAACCUGCUCAUACAGGGGGAUAACAGUUAGAAAUGACUGCUAAUACCGCAUAAGACCACAGCACCGCAUGGUGCAGGGGUAAAAACUCCGGUGGUAUGAGAUGGAUCCGCGUCUGAUUAGCUAGUUGGCGGGGUAACGGCCCACCAAGGCGACGAUCAGUAGCCGGUCUGAGAGGAUGAACGGCCACAUUGGGACUGAGAUACGGCCCAG
rnacentral:rRNA from 1 species